rnacentral:rRNA from 1 species
GGUCUUUUGUUUAUAUAAAAGAUCUGGCCUGCCCAAUGAUUUUUUUAAUGGCUGCAGUAUUUUGACUGUACAAAGGUAGCAUAAUCAUUUGUCUCUUAAUUGGAGUCUGGAAUGAAUGGUUGGAUGAAAGGUUUACUUUCUUUAUUUUAAAUAUAAAAUUUAAUUUUUGAAUCAGAAAGUUUAAAUAUUAAUAUAGGACGAGAAGACCCUAUAGAACUUUAUUUAUAAAAAAUAUUUAUUAAUUUGUAGAUUAUGAAUAUAUAUUUUUAUAUAAAUUUUAUUGGGGUGAUAAAAAAAAUUUUUUAACUUUUUUUAUUUUUAUCAUUUAUAUAUGUAUUUUUGAUCCUUUAAUAAGGAAUAAAAGAAUAAGUUACCUUAGGGAUAACAGCGUUAUUAUUUUAGAGAGUUCAUAUUGAUAAAAUAGUUUGCGACCUCGAUGUUGGAUUAAAAUUAGUCUCAGGAGGAGAAUAUUGAUGACUAAGUCUGUACGACUUUUAAAUUUUUACAU